rnacentral:rRNA from 1 species
UACACGCUGUGACUAGCAUAUCAAUAAGCGGAGGAAAAGAAACUAACAAGGAUUCCCUCAGUAACGGCGAGUGAAGCGGGAAGAGCUCAAAUUUGAAAUCUUGGAAAGGUCACCUUUCACGAAUUGUAGUUUAAAGAAGUGUUUUCUGUUACGAUCGUAAUAUAAGUUCUUUGGAAUAGGACAUCACAGAGGGUGAGAAUCCCGUCUAUGAUUGCGAUUUGUAGCUUUGUGAUACACUUUCAAAGAGUCGGGUUGUUUGGGAAUGCAGCCCAAAACGGGAGGUAAAUUUCUUCUAAGGCUAAAUAUUGGCGAGAGACCGAUAGCGAACAAGUACCGUGAGGGAAAGAUAAAAGAACUUUGAAAAGAGAGUUAAAUAGUACGUGAAAUUGUCAAAAGGGAAGCGUUUAACACCAGUGUUGUUUUCUGAAAAUCAACCUCUGUUAGCCUUUAUGCAUGCUUGUUUAGACCUAAUCAGCUAUCUUUCAUGUUCUAUUGUUUGCAGUGGUGCACUUUUCAGUUUACAGGUCAACAUCAGUUUUUUUUACCGUAAAAAAGUUAAAGAAAGGUAGCUCAUGGCUCCGGUCGUGAGUGUUAUAGUCUUUUUCCUAUGCGGUAGGAGAGACUGAGGUCUGCAGUGUAGGCUAUUUGGCUAGAUACUCAGGUGCUAUGUGAUACCAUUUCAUAAACAACUUGUUGAUUAUGUUUUGUCUAUUGCAUACUCGCUUGUACUAUCAUACCUACGCUUAGGAUGUUGAGUAGCGACAUACGCAC